rnacentral:sRNA from 1 species
GGAGGAGGAGUGGUAAGUGUCUUCCAACACUUCUCACUUGUAUUGAGGGGUAACAUUAGAUUCAAACUACUUCAGACCUACACAAAACAAAAUUUAUGUACUACCAAGAAUGUCAAGUGUACCUCUUACCACAAAUCCACUUGCUAAUGUCAGUGAAUCUCUAGUUUCAGAAAGUUUUUAGUCAGUGCAAAUUGAAGGCAUUAUAUCAAAAAUGUAUUACAUAAUUACCCUUCAUUUUUAUGGUGGUGUCAUGUUUUUAAAGUCAUUACAUAAUUAUAUGUAUAUAUGUACACAUACGUAUAUAUUAACUAUAUUGUCACUUUAGGGUUAAGAGUAUUAUAGUUGUGUUUUAUUAAAAUAAACAGUUGAUUUAGAAAACAAAUACUAAUAUUUUUAUUAUGCUAACUUAGUUAAAAUUUUCCUUUUAUCUUCAGAUUUACAUUUUUUUUUAAUUUACCUUUCAUUAAUAGGUAGUAUAGAUCAAUCAGUGUUAAAAGAAUUACCCCCUGAACUCCUGGCAGAAAUUGAGUCCACCAUGCCACUUUGUGAACGUGUGAAAAUGAACAAACGCAAGCGUAGCACAGUUAAUGAAAAGCCAAAAUAUGCUGAAAUCAGUUCAGAUGAAGAUAAUGAUAGUGAUGAAGCUUUUGAAUCCUCUAGGAAACGACAUAAAAAAGAUGAUGAUAAAGCUUGGGAAUAUGAAGAGCGUGACAGAAGAAGCUCUGGGGAUCAUAGGAGAAGUGGCCACUCUCAUGAAGGAAGAAGGAGUUCAGGUGGUGGUCGUUAU